CCGGACUUUGGGCCGGGGAGCGGCGCGCCAGGAGGGCCCGGGGCCAGAGACGCGGGGCCAGGAUCUGGGAAGAAGCAGGACGCCCGGGAUUCGGGGCGGACGCAGUCGAGGUGGCGGCCCGGGUCGCUAAGGACUGCGGAGGCGUCGGCGGGCUCAGAACUUGCCGAGCCGAGCGGAGACUCCAAGGCUGGGGCACCGGGGCUCUCGGAGAGGCCCCGCGCUCUGCCCUCCAGCGCCCCGGACCUGGGGUCUGAGCCCGUAAGUGCGCGGGGGCGCGGGGCCCCUCGGAGCCGGCGGGGAGGGGUCGGGGGCCGGGAGUCGGCGCGGGUGGCGGGGACCGAGAGGGCGCGGGGCGGGGGGCGCGCGGGGGGGCCCCCUCGGAGCCGGCCGGGGGGGGGGGUCGGGGGCCGGGAGUCGGCGCGGGUGGCGGGGACCGAGCCGGCCCGGGUGCGUGCGGGGGGGGAGGGCGGCGGGGUCGCGGGGGCUCCUCGGAGCCGGCGGGGGGGGUGUCGGCGCGGGUGGCGGGGACCGAGCGGGCGCGGGGCGGGGGGCGCGCGGGGGGGGCCCCCUCGGAGCCGGCCGGGGGGGGGGGUCGGGGGCCGGGAGUCGGCGCGGGUGGCGGGGACCGAGCCGGCCCGGGUGCGUGCGGGGGGGGAGGGCGGCGGGGUCGCGGGGGCUCCUUGGAGCCGGCGGGGGGGUGUCGGCGCGGGUGGCGGGGACCGAGCGGGCGCGGGGCGGGGGGCGCGCGCGGGGGGCCCCCUCGGAGCCGGCCGGGGGUGUUCGGGGGCCGGGAGUCUGCGCGGGUGGCGGGGACCGAGCGGGCCCGGGUGCGCGCGGGGGGGCGGCGGGGUCGCGGCGCCCCCCCCCCCCCGCGAGCGCCCGCCCCCGCCCCCGCCCCCGCCGCCCGCCGCCCGCCGCCCGCCGCGGAGCUCUAUUUUUAGCCGGCGCUGUUGCAAUAUAAGGAAUGCGCGGCGCGCCAGGCGCUCGGGGCGCGCGCGGGCUGCGCGGUCGCUUUAA
rnacentral:lncRNA from 1 species